UUUAAAUGGUGAGAAGUCCGGCUUGCUUAAAUGCGAAGCUGAAGUCCGGACGUGGGAUACGAGCGCCUAGUGGGCC
rnacentral:rRNA from 1 species